UACAGAGGUCCCAAGCGUUGUUCGGAUUCACUGGGCGUAAAGGGUGCGUAGGCGGUCGGGUAAGUCUGGCGUGAAAUCUCCAAGCCUAACUUGGAAACUGCGUUGGAUACUAUCCGGCUCGAGGAAUGGAGGGGAGACUGGAAUACUUGGUGUAGCAGUGAAAUGCGUAGAUAUCAAGUGGAACACCAGUGGCGAAGGCGAGUCUCUGUACAUUUCCUGACGCUGAGGCACGAAAGCCAGGGGAGCAAACGGG
rnacentral:rRNA from 1 species